UCCUGCUGUGUGUCCAGCUGUAGAGCUGUUGCAACCCUGGAGCUAAGAGUAGUAAGGACUCCCUUAAAGGGAAAGUGGCCCUGGAGCAACCUGGACGGUGUUCCCUUGAGCUGGUGUGACGUGCCCUCGUUUAUUCUGACAUCCAGCCCAGUCUCAGUACUGUUGUCAUAACCUUACGCCAGACUCAGGCAGAAUGUAAGCCAUUCACUCGUGAGCAUCGCAGCCGCUUGUGCUGCCUGGAAGCUGCAGGGCCAGGACUGCAUUUUCAGUUUGCAAUUGAGGUCUCCUGAUUUUGAUGUUUCCAAGACUGGCUGCUAUACCUUGAUAAGCUUUCCUUCUGCCUCCAUGAAACCUGGUGUCUAAAAAAGAUCAACUAAAACUUGGAACCCUUUAACCAAGAGGACCUUUAAAAAUAACCUUUCAUUCCAGUCAAGACCCAGCUGGAUGCAUUUUAAAGUUGGGAGUGGCGAGGAAGCCUUCCUAGUGCCGCCCGGGGAAUGUAAAACCACCAGAGCAACAGGUUGGGACAGUAUGGUCAGGCCUUGGAGGGAAAGAGAACCAGUAUCCACACAAGACCUCGAACUUGUGUGGCCCCUCAGUUUCAUCUCUCCUGCCUGCCAUCACAUUAGACUUUAAUUGGGUGAGAGAACAGGGCAGAGACUGUCACCUGCAUUUUGCAGAUGGGAAGUAGAGACAGAGAAAGUGACACACCCAGGGUCACCCAGCGGUGACCAGCAGCGUGGACUCUGCAUCCAGGUCUCCUGGACCUUGAUGCAGUAUCUUUUGAGACAUGCCACUCUAGUCCCUUUGGUGACCCAUGGGUGCCAAGAGAAAAUAAUUCUUAUAUCCUGAUAAGAGCAUAUUACAAUUAUAUUAUUUCAAUAUGUGUCCACAGCACAGGACAGUUUACAAAAACGUGAAUCCGAAUGACAUUUAGGAAUGUUUGUUAUAAAUGAUAAGUUCCACUUUGGAAUGAUUCUGGUUUUGCAGGAAUCUUUCCAAGAAAGUUGGUUAAAAUGAUGUCUCUGCCUGUGAGGCCAGUUCUAUGGAAAACAAACACACCCUGAGUUCUUUAUUGAUGGCUUUAGUGGAGGCAGAGCAGUAUGUUCAAAACAAGUGGGAGGCCCUGAGAUCGCAGGAAUGGAAACAGAGUUCUGGCUGGGGGUGGCCUGUCCGCUGCCCGCCCCUUCCUGGAGAUGCACUCCUUUCUGGCUUUCUGGGGAGGGAGUAGCCUUGCUCAGCGGUGGGAGCAGCUUGAACGGGACCUGAUCAACACCCAGGAAGACUGUGCACAGAGGGCAGUUGGUCUCCAGCCUGCAGGCUCCAUGAGCACAGCCUUCAUGGUGGUGGGCAGGCGCCUGCCUGCUGUGGACUACAUUUGAUGCAAAACAUCAAGUAAAGGGUGGAGCGUAAUACAGUGAAUAUGCCUCCCAGAAACAUCAUGCUCUGCCUAUUUUAACAGGGCUCUUUUUCUUUAGAAAAGUCUCCUUCUCUAUAGAAACCAGGGACAAUUUUGGAUGAGAGCCAACCACAGGACGCGCUGGGGACGUUAUGGUGGGACCUCACAUGUGGCCAGGUGCACCUUUGGGAAGAAGGCAGACGUGAUGUGACUUAGCACAGGCACUCAAAAGAGGCAGCCACUGGUCUUUGCUAAUAUCCAGAAGUGGAUUGUUUGUUCCAUUCAUCCUUCUAGAAGCUAAAUUCUUUCAUUGCCUUGAGACAUCACUAGAUUUUGAAGCACUUGCAAAGUAGAAGCUUGCAAGAUCAAUGUCCAUGUAUAUUUUUAAAUGAUAUGCAUGCUUUAAAAGGACCCUAAUUUCUGAGUACAUGGCUUCCCCAAAGAAACAGUAUAUAUUCUGGAGAUGAUGGGGGUUUCGGCAUGGAGAGGGACUCCUGUCUAGUCUAGAAGUGUGUGUUACUUACAUGCCUCUUCCAUGUACCGAUCUCAAGAAUAUGGGUUUUCUAGUUUGGCUUUAAACACUACCCAGGCAGGAAGGUGGCUUUGGUAAGAAUUUUGAGCUGGAUGAAAUGUUCUAGUGAACUUACGACUGUGUGUGUGCGCACACAUGUGUGUGUGUGUGUGUGUGUAUGUGAAGAAACAGCAAAAGGGGAAGUGGGAGAAACAGUAAGGAAGCGUUUUUAAUUAAAAAUAUGUAUACCUAAGAGGAGACUUUAUUUUCUAUUUCUGGUGGUGGUGAUCUAUGUUCUGGAAUCCAUUUACCAGAAGUUUGUGGAUCUUUUGUUUGAAGUGGAAUUGUUCAGUGCCCUACUCUCUUUGACGGUGCACAGCCUUGCGGCAAAGUGUUCUCCUGGGCCCUAGAGACCUCCAGGGCACCUGGCAGGAGCCCAUAAACCACUGCAGAGUCCCAAGUGGUGCAUGUUUUGGCGAGUGAUGGGCAGGACUGAUGAUUCACAGCUGUGAGGCUGUGCUAUUGUUUUUACCCUCUUGUACUGCUUUUAAUAGGAAGUCCCGACUUUACGUCAGUUGUGAGAGCAGUGUCUUAUGAUGUGACAGGCAAGAAGACAUUCCUUGCAUCAAAUAUAAGAGUUUAAUGAGAAGAGUGGAGUGGAUAAGUGAACUCUCCCAAGAGUACUGUUUUUUGUUUCCCUUUUUAAAUGCUUUCUUGGUACAUAAAUAAUAUAAUACUUUUUUAAAAGAAAUUCCAGAUGAGUGGGAAAAAAACCAAUCACCUGUUAUUACACUAUCUGAUUAUAACCACUGUUAACAUUUCAGUUUUUAUCUUUUCAGACUUUUUUCUAUGCAUCUGUGUGUGUUUUAUUACUUUUUCCAUGAAAUAUAAUCAUAUUAUACAUACUGUUUUAUAACUUUUAUCUCUUUUAACGCUAUAUUGUGAAUAGAUUUCUAUAUCAGUAAAUAUGUAAUUACAUUAUUUUUAACCUCUAUGUAGGUUGUACCUUGGAUACUUAGGUUGUUUCCAAUUUUUUUACUGUUGUAGUCAAGGACAUAAUGAAGUUCUUCUAACAUCCUUGCGAACUUUUCAGAAUAUUGACUUAGGGUAAUUUUCUGAAGUUAUCACUGGCUCAAAAGUACGCGCCUCCCUAUCUGCGGCUCCUUUCCUUCUGAGGCAUACAGGACUUCACCCUCCAUCCCCCUUGUACUCAUUCAGGGUCCUAUGACUAAUUCUGGCCAAUGAAAUGUGAGCACAGGUGACACAUGAAGCUCCAGACAGACACUGAAAUGCCCAUGAGCAGUUCCGCAGUGUCUGCCUUCCCUUCCCUCAGCAAAUGCUGAUGUCCCAGGGACAGAGCCUCUGUCAAGCCUGGAUCCCUGAGUGACUACGUGGAGCAGCCCCCUUCUCCCUUCAUGUUACCCUCACCUGCCACCCUGCAUGGACGUGUAGCAUGAAUAAAAAAAAUAAACCUUAGGUGUUAAACACUGGGGUUUCAGGGUUAAUUGGUUAACUGCAGCAUAACAUAUCCUGUUCAACAAUAAAAAAGAAUGCACAUUUUUAGGACUUGUAAUAUGUAUUGCCUCAAAUUGCCUUCCAGAAAGACAGCCCCAAUUAUACUCCCACUCACAGUGUGUGAGUGUGUACUGCUUCCUCUUUAACACUGGAGUUACCCUGGGGACAGAGAGCUAAAAAAAAUAUUUUUUUGGUUAAAAUGUAACCCUUUAAGGUGUUCAGCAGUAUCAUUGAUUUCUAAGAGGUUUAUUUCAUAAACAUUGUAAAACAAAAUUUUAAGUUGCACGUAUUUUAAAAAGUUGCAGGCUUUUUAAAAACGUUUAGACAUUUAAAAAAACACCUUUUAGUCAAGUUUAUCUGUUACUUUUUUUUUUUUUUUUUUUUU
rnacentral:lncRNA from 1 species